GUGCAUCAUUAUUCUCACUUGACAGAUGAGGUCACACGACUGGUAAAUGGCAAUGCUGGGAACCCACUAGGGGGAUCUGACGUUCAAACCAUGUCCCCAUCGCCCAGAAUGUACAAGCUGAUACAACUGGACAGAAGAGGAAGGCAGUGGCUCCGAGACCAGAAGGAUGGAGAGUGAGGAGGACUUUCCCUUACCUGGGUUGCAGAACCAUUUGAAUCUAGAGAACUCAUUGUAUGUGUGGUGUCUGCAUAGGUUUCUGGUAGUGCAUUCUCUGGCUGAUGUCCAAAGUCUUCAAAGCAGGGGGGCCUGAGAUAUGCCAAAAGGAACGCCUAUCUGUGGAAGAAGCCGGUCCACCCACCAAGAAGUUCUUGGUGGUCAGUGUCUGCGUGUCCCACUGCUGGGGUGAAGAGAAUUGGAAACCACUGAACAUUCCUGCUGGGAUCUUUCCAAGCCCUUUUGGGAACCGGCAACAGCUCUUGUCUGGGGAAAUUAGUUUUGCACUUUCACGGAGUGAGAAAUUCCUCAGGGGCAUUCUUGUACUUGGGAAGAGAAAUCAAACCCAGCUCAUUCCUUCAGGGCCCAUGCUAUUAAUAAAGCCGACCGAGUUCA